rnacentral:sRNA from 1 species
AUCCACUGAGUACAGGGAGUGCUCGGGAUCAUGGAUGACGGGACCAGGCAUGGAAUGCCAGACAGGGAGUCAAAUUGGUCCUCAAAAACCCGCUUCGGCGGGUUUUUU